GCCACGUGUGGUGGCUCACACCUGUAAUCCCAGUGGCUCAGGAAGCUGAGGCAGGAGGAUCGUGAGUUCAAAGUCAGUUCAAAGUCAUGAGACCCUGCCUCUA
rnacentral:sRNA from 1 species